AUUGAACGCUGGCGGCAUGCCUUACACAUGCAAGUCGAACGGCAGCACGGGUGCUUGCACCUGGUGGCGAGUGGCGAACGGGUGAGUAAUACAUCGGAACGUACCUUAUCGUGGGGGAUAACGCAGCGAAAGUUGCGCUAAUACCGCAUACGCCCUGAGGGGGAAAGCGGGGGACCGUAAGGCCUCGCGCGAUUAGAGCGGCCGAUGUCUGAUUAGCUUGUUGGUGGGGGAAAAGCUCACCAAGGCGACGAUCAGUAGCUGGUCUGAGAGGACGAUCAGCCACGCUGGGACUGAAACACGGGCCAGGCUCCUACGGGAGGCAGCAGUGGGGAAUUUUGGACAAUGGGGGCAACCCUGAGCCAGCAAUGCCGCUUGAGGGAAGAAGGCCUUCGGGGUGUAAAGCUCUUUUGGCAGGGAAGAAACAGCAGCUCUAACACAGUCUUCGAAUGACGGUACCUGAAGAAUAAGCACCGGCUAACUACGUGCCAGCCGCCGCCGUAA
rnacentral:rRNA from 1 species